AUUCCUCUUCGUUUCCUCUUCUUUCUAAGAUGCCCCUGCAGGCUAGGGUUCCCGGCGGGCGGCGGCCGCCCCUACUACUCUCGCCCUCGCCACCACCCACAAAUGGAGUCCACCAUGGAGAAUGCCCAGUUGCCCACGUAGUGGGAGCGCCAAGCUGUCUGGAACCGGCGCGAUUACUAGGGAGAGUGGUGGUGGCGGCAUGGAGGUGGUGCCGUGGGGGACAGCCGCCGUUGCUGGGGCAGAGGUAGUAGUGGACAUCGGCGUCGGUGCGUCGCGGAUCUGCUGCGUGAAGGCUACUGAGGGGACGGCCUGGGAGAGCAAAGUGCGCAUGUAAGGACGUCUGGGACCAGCCCUGUGGAUCAACAUGGUGCGCAUGAGCGAUGAUGCUUCCUUGGUCCCUCCACCAUGUCAAGGAGGCCUACAUGUGCGGCUUCUGAACCAGUAAUUUCCACCCCCUUCGUCAAUUCUGCACUAAUCCACCCAUCCUCCUAGCUCUUUUCUCCAUCCAAGUUCCAUCCCUUGGUUUAGGGCUUUAGGCUGUCGAAAGGUGAACACUAAAUUUUCUACUGAUCUAGAUAUUAUAGUGAUGCUAAGUGCUAUAAAAAGGGUAAAAUAUUUCUUCAAAGAGAUGGCAAAGUCGAAUUAAAAAUUGGAAUAUUAGAGCUUAGCUAAUUAAAAUAUGCUAAUAUAUGAUACAACAAAUGGUGUGCAACUUGCAGCAAAUUAGUUCAGAGCUGAUACAAAAAUAGCUUUGCUAAUUUUCUAUUGUCAGCAUCUCAGAUACUAAGGUUUUAUUUUCGUGCCAUUCCACUUGGUUUCACUAUAUGCAGUAGUUGAAAAUUUAUAUAUUGUGACGUUACCAAUUAGUCCACAUCGUUUGUUGGUACUGAACAAUUCUUGGCUAUGGGGUGUCUCCUACCUAAUUUCCUUUCUUAUUUGAGAAUAUAGUCCUGCUGCAAAUUCAUUCAGUUCUUCUGCAUUUUCUCUCAAAAAUAUAGAACCACAUAUUGUGGAUGAAUCAACUCUUGGUGCAAAUACAUACUAUGAAUUUAAAAAAUUCCCUUACUGCGAUACCAACAUGAACAUUGACACUAGGGUUUGAGGGCCAUGAUGGCCAUUUAUGCAACCAGAUGAGUUUCCUCUGCUGAUGAUAAAAACAUGGACAUCAACUCUAGGUGUUAAGGCCGCCAUGGCCACUGAUGCGUGUGUGGCUACAACAUAAGGUGUAUGUGAUUUUAAUCAAAUCAUUUAUAUCUUGGUUGGAGUUCUGAUUUGUUUACAAACCCAUCAACGUUUACUUUACGUAUUUUCAAUGUCACUGGUUAUCUUAUCCGUGCCAUUUUUGCUCCUCAUUCAGCAAAAUCCAUAGAAGCAGAAGCUGCUUAGUAAUGUAUUCAGAAGGUUUUUGUUAGUUCAGUACUUGCAAAAGGUUGCUCCAUUUUGUCUGUAAGGUUGAUGCUUUCAUCGUAUUUUCAGAAAUAUAGUUUCCUUUUUAUGAUAUCUUCUAUACCUUAAUAUUAUGUCUUCGGUACAACCUGCUCACAACUCAUGAUGUUAAAGAAUAAACUUUAGCUGGACUUGAAGGAAACACGUCAAUCCUUCCUAAUUCACAUCUCUUAUUGUCUUGGAGUAUCUACUUCGAAAUGAAUAUGCAUGGUACAUAUCUCUGUUCAAGACAAAGAGAAAUAUCUCAUAAGAAGAUCAGUACUUCUGGAAAGUUGAGCUCACUUGUUUUAGUUGUUUUUUGUAUAUCUCAUAAGAAAAUCUGUUUUUUUUAAAUCUUAGAUCCAGAUUAGCAGCUUGUGAACUGACCAUGUUAAUGUUACAGAAAAUGAUACGAGCUCACUGGAGCAAAAAAAUCAAUUUUACUACAAUUUUGCCUGCCAUAGCAUCAACACAGGCUUUGUCGGAAUGAAUUUAAUUAUGUCCUAAUUAUUAAUGUUUACAUUUAGAUGUGUAUCUUACUUUCUUUCUAGAGGAUAUGUGUUAUCGAAGGCCACAUGUAGGCAGAGAUAUUGUAUAACACUCUAAAGUUUGAUGUUCUAUAGCGGAUUCUUUUCCACAAAAUAAAAUUAAUGUUUGUACCUUUCACAUGUACCCGUCGUUCUGAAGUUUGAUGUUCCCAAAGGAUUUCUUUUUGACAAAACUUGGUGUAUAUCUGUAUCUCUGAUAUAUUCAUUGGUAUGCUUUUUUUAUUUUACUUCUGCUUUGUCAAGACCAUAAAUAUGUUGAGGCUAGGAAUAUUCAGCUAGGAAGAUGGGAGUAGAAGAGGAGCAACGCGAGAUGGCUUGUGCAACAUGAAUAGAGCUGCCGCUCCAAACAGAGAGAACAAGCUUGUGAACUUCAGGCGUUGUAUAUCUCUCCAAACCGCAGGAUGUAGAUUCAGAACACUUUGAGACAUCACCUCUUUAUGCCAAAGGGAAUUGAUGAUGAUGUGACAACAUGAAGCUAACAAGGUCUAGCAGAUAAUUAUAAUGCAGUGACGAGUGAAAAUGAGAGAGCACUACCAGAGAAAUGCUACAUAACUUUUUAAGUGGCAUUAUGUUAGUUUAGUUUGAGUGCAAGUGUAAAAGUAUGUCUGUCUCACAUCCUUAAAAACGUUAAAAAAAGAGCCCUUCACUGAUGCUUCUUGUGUGUAUGAGUGUAUCCUCCGGUUUUACUUACGAUUGUAGACUUAGCAUAUUCACUACUAUAGAACAAUCAAUUUUAUCUUUAUCA